UGGGGAAUUUUGGACAAUGGGCGCAAGCCUGAUCCAGCCAUGCCGCGUGCGGGAAGAAGGCCUUCGGGUUGUAAACCGCUUUUGUCAGGGAAGAAAUCUUCUGAGUUAAUACCUCGGGAGGAUGACGGUACCUGAAGAAUAAGCACCGGCUAACUACGUGCCAGCAGCCGCGGUAAUACGUAGGGUGCAAGCGUUAAUCGGAAUUACUGGGCGUAAAGCGUGCGCAGGCGGUUUUGUAAGACAGAGGUGAAAUCCCCGGGCUCAACCUGGGAACUGCCUUUGUGACUGCAAGGCUUGAGUGCGGCAGAGGGGGAUGGAAUUCCGCGUGUAGCAGUGAAAUUGCGUAGAUAUGCGGAGGAACACCGAUGGCGAAGGCAAUCCCCUGGGCCUGCACUGACGCUCAUGCACGAAAGCGUGGGGAGCAAACAGGAUUAGAUACCCUGGUAGUCCACGCCCUAAACGAUGUCAACUGGUUGUUGGGAAGGUUCCUUCUCAGUAACGUAGCUAACGCGUGAAGUUGACCGCUGGGGAGUACGGCCGCAAGGUUGAAACUCAAAUGAAUUGACGGGGU
rnacentral:rRNA from 1 species